CCUACGGGGGGCAGCAGUGAGGAAUAUUGGUCAAUGGACGAGAGUCUGAACCAGCCAAGUAGCGUAAAGGAUGACUGCCCUAUGGGUUGUAAACUUCUUUUAUAUGGGAAUAAAACGUUCCACGUGUGGGAUUUUGUAUGUACCAUAUGAAUAAGGAUCGGCUAACUCCGUGCCAGCAGCCGCGGUAAUACGGAGGAUCCGAGCGUUAUCCGGCUUUAUUGGGUUUAAAGGGAGCGUAGGUGGAUUGUUAAGUCAGUUGUGAAAGUUUGCGGCUCAACCGUAAAAUUGCAGUUGAAACUGGCAGUCUUGAGUACAGUAGAGGUGGGCGGAAUUCGUGGUGUAGCGGUGAAAUGCUUAGAUAUCACGAAGAACUCCGAUUGCGAAGGCAGUUCACUGGACUGCAACUGACACUGAGGCUCGAAAGUGUGGGUAUCAAACAGGAUUAGAUACCCGGGUAGUC
rnacentral:rRNA from 1 species